GGGCAGUGUCAGAUUAAUAAAUCAGUCUGAGACUUGACAUUUUAUCAGUCGCGGGACCUUUUGUUGAGAGCAGACACACAAGCAACAACAAACAUGAGCGUAUGGACAGAAUGGCUGGACAUCUUCCCAGUCGUGGGUACUCUCCAGAACACGGUUGAAGCUAUAUCAGCCGUCUGCCAUGGCGCCUAUGACCUUGCAAAGGAAAAUGGAGCCGAUGCAGCUCUGAGUCUUGUGCUGGAUGUCCUCACAUAUGGGACAGCAGGUGCCCCGGAUUCUGCACACCUUAAAGUUGCUGAAAAGGUCGUAAUGAAGGGCAUUGGUCCCAAAGAAGUCAUGAAUGCCAUGAAAGGUAAAGGUGGAAAAUCCGGGAAAGGAGGAGCUGCACAAUCCAUGAAAGGAGCUGGUAAAAAAACCUGCUGCUACUCAGAUUAACAUCAAAGAAUUGACCAACAAAUCCAAAAAGCCAUCAGACCCAAAGACCAGUAAAGGGGAACAGAAGAAGCCAUCGCAUCGUGGCGAACAUGUCAUCAACAACAACGUGCUGAAGGUGUUUCGGACAAUCAUUGACCGAUUUGCUGCUAGGAUUGGAAGCACUGCAGCUCAACUGCUUGAAAAUAAAGAACACACAGCAGCUUAUAAAGCAUCACACACC